rnacentral:rRNA from 1 species
GAUGAACGCUGGCGGCGUGCCUAAUACAUGCAAGUCGAGCGAACGGACGAGAAGCUUGCUUCUCUGAUGUUAGCGGCGGACGGGUGAGUAACACGUGGAUAACCUACCUAUAAGACUGGGAUAACUUCGGGAAACCGUAGCUAAUACCGGAUAAUAUUUUGAACCGCAUGGUUCAAAAGUGAAAGACGGUCUUGCUGUCACUUAUAGAUGGAUCCGCGCUGCAUUAGCUAGUUGGUAAGGUAACGGCUUACCAAGGCAACGAUGCAUAGCCGACCUGAGAGGGUGAUCGGCCACACUGGAACUGAGACACGGUCCAGACUCCUACGGGAGGCAGCAGUAGGGAAUCUUCCGCAAUGGGCGGAAGCCUGACGGAGCAACGCCGCGUGAGUGAUGAAGGUCUUCGGAUCGUAAAUCUCUGUUAUUAGGGAAGAACAUAUGUGUAAGUAACUGUGCACAUCUUGACGGUACAUAAUCAGAAAGCCACGGCUAACUACGUG